GUUCCGCCGGCUGGUUUACGCACCGUUACGGAGGCCAUCUUGGAUGUGGCGAAACCCUGCUAGGCCUCGCAUUGUAUCCGCCAUGUUGAGUGUGGCAGCCCUUUUCUUUCCCCUCCCCCAUUGCUGCACUGUUAGUCUGUAGGUGAAGGUUCUAGGCAAUGUCCACUGUGGUAGCUAAGCAAGUAAGUCACCAAUGGGCCCCUCUGUGUGGGGGUGGGGGCCCAGUUCAGGCUGUGUGAGCCCAUGUCUGGCACACACUGCCAAGCCCCACCAGCAGGGCACGCAGCCCCUUCACCGCAGCCCCAUCCCAUAGCAUGUUGGGAGGGGUCAGCACAGGGAUGGUUUGUGAUAGGGAUGGGGAGGCAAUUCUAUGGGGGGUUGAGUAGAGGAUUGGCAAAGGGAGGGGCGGGUGGGAUUUGGGGUGGGGAGUUGGCGUAGGGAUGGGCUAGUGGGAUUUGAGCUGCAAGGUUAGAGUAGGGGUGGGUGAGUGAAUGGGAUUUGGGGUGAGGAGUUGGUGUACGAGUAAGUGGAUGAGAUUUGGGAUGGGAGGUUGGCAUAAGGAUGGGUGGAUGGGAUUUGGGGUGAGAGGUUAGCAUAAGGAUGAGUGGAUGGGAUUUGGGGUGGGAGGUUAGCAUAAGGAUGGGUGGAUGGGAUUUGGGGUAGGAGGUUAGCAUAAGGAUGAGUGGAUGGGAUUUGGGGUGGGAGGUUGGCGUAGGGAUCAGCGCCGGCUCCAGGGGUUUUGCCCCCGCAAGCAGCCAAAAAAAGAAAAGCCGCGAUCGCGAUCAGCAGUAAUUCAGCGGGAGGUCCUUUGCUCUGAGCGGGAGUGAGGGACCCUCCGCCGAAUUGCCGCUGAAUACCUGAAAGUGCUGCCCCGCUCGAGAGUUGCCGCCCCAAGCACCUACUUGAUAAGCUGGUGCCUGGAGCCAGCCCUGGUAGGGAUGGAUGGAUGGGAUUUGGGGUGGGAGGUUGGCGUAGAGAUGGGUGGAUGGGAUUUGACAUAGGGGGUUGGCAUAGGGAUGGAUGGUUGGGAUUUGCAGUAGGGGGUUGGUAUAGAGAUGAGUGGAUGAGAUUUGGGGUUGGCAUAGGGAUGGGUCAAAGCUUGUACUCCGCUAUGUCUUCCAGAGACUUUUGCAGCUCCAUCAAAUGCACAAGCAGCCAUCUGUUUCAGGUUCAAUUUACAAGCAUUUAACUCUUCUAAGAUGUGGGUUCUAUAACCUGAACCUGCAGCCAAAGUGUGUUCUAUAACCUUAACAUCUAGAAAUGCAUCUAUUGGCCUACCACUGACAGCAAGAUAACAUACACAGUGACUUAAUAAUUGAUGCCCAUUUGCAUUGGCGCAUUCAUCAACCAUGUAUGCACAUUUUUUUGAAUGUGGUGACAGAGUUCUUCACUUUUUCAACUGCUGAGUCUUUCUCUGUUGCACUUCAUGCUUCUAACCAGUCAGAUGAGUUUCUUGUAGAAAGACAGUGAGCAUUUGCUGGUCUUGUUCAGAACCAGUGCCCAACUUCAAGAUUAACAAGUGACAAUGCAUUUAACAUUGGCCUCCAGUUUGUAGUAUGUGGUUGUAAUGUUGUACUCCAUACGUUUUAUGGAAAUAUGCUUUUGAGUGUAAAUAUAAUAUAACUGGAAUAUUUUUGUGCAAAAGUUUAUAAUCUACUGAGUGUGUUCAUCCUAUUUGUAUGCAUGUAUCAUUCUUGUAUCUAAAACUAGAAAUAUGAAGUAUUGCUCUGAGGUCCUAUUGUAAUUAUGCAAAGUGUGGUCCAUUAAUGGUGGCUUAGGAUCUUGAUGGCUCCCAUUAACUAGAACAAUUGGUUGUAAAUGGCUCUGUUUACUUUUAAGCCUUCAUGUGUUUGUGUGAGUCAGGCCAGAAAGAAUGGAGGCUUGGGGGUCUCACAGGACAUGUAACCAUAUCACCCGGUACUGGAAUCCAUCUUAUACCUUGUGCUUUUCCAUUUAGAAGGAAGAGUCGGAACCCAGUAAGAGACAAAUGAUUUCCACCUUGUGCCAAAGAUAUAAAAGGGGGUGGAACAGAACAAAAGGCUCCUAGUCAUGUGAAAUCCCUGCUUUUCACCUAAGAUGCCUGCUGGAACUAACAAAGUCUGUACCAGGGAAAGGAUUGGGCUCAGACUAGGAAGCAGUCUAGUCUGUGAAAGAAGCUUAUUGGAACAUCUCUGAAAGUGAGAUUUACCUGUAUUCAGUUUCUUAUGUAUUAGGCUUAGACUUGCAUGUUUUGUUUUAUUUUGCUUGGUGACUUACUUUGUUCUGUCUGCUAUUACUUGAAACCACUUAAAUCCUACUUUUUAUACUUAAUAAAAUCACUUUUGUUUAUUAA